rnacentral:rRNA from 1 species
UACGGGGGGGCAAGCGUUGUUCGGAAUUACUGGGCGUAAAGGGCUCGUAGGUGGCCAACUAAGUCAGACGUGAAAUCCCUCGGCUUAACCGGGGAACUGCGUCUGAUACUGGAUGGCUUGAGUUUGGGAGAGGGACGCGGAAUUCCAGGUGUAGCGGUGAAAUGCGUAGAUAUCAGGAAGAACACCAAUGGCGAAAGCAGCUUUCUGGGACGGUACUGACGCUGAGACGCGAAAGCGUGGGGAGCGAACAGG